AUUUGUCAAGUAUCCAUAUGUAUAAUUGACUUCCAAUCAAAAGGUCUGAAAUAAUUCAGGACAAAUA
rnacentral:tRNA from 1 species